rnacentral:misc_RNA from 1 species
GAAAUGCGAUAAAUAAUAUAAAUUAUAGAAUUUAGUAAAUUAUUAAAUCUUUAAACGUAUAUUACGCCCCUUAGUAUUCUAUAGGGUAUGCCUAUUCGAGCGUUAUCUAUAUCCUUAAGCUCUACUUAGUAUAGGCGUCUAUCCCACCUUCGCGUAUAGACUUACUUUAAAUAUAUUAGUAGUAGUCUUUGUCUCCUCCCGCGUAGUAUAUUACGCUUCUCGAGGCUAUAGCGGCCUGUGUCUAAUAAGCUAAACCCCCCCGUUUUUAACCUUAGAUUAGGUAGGGAUACCCGCUAAACUUAAGC